rnacentral:rRNA from 1 species
CCUACAGGCGGCAGCAGUGGGGAAUAUUGGACAAUGGGCGAAAGCCUGAUCCAGCCAUGCCGCGUGUGUGAAGAAGGCCUUCGGGUUGUAAAGCACUUUCAGUGGGGAAGAAAGCCUUGGGGCUAAUACCCUCGAGGAAGGACAUCACCCACAGAAGAAGCACCGGCUAACUCCGUGCCAGCAGCCUCGGUAAUACGGAGGGUGCGAGCGUUAAUCGGAAUUACUGGGCGUAAAGCGCGCGUAGGCGGUCUGAUAAGCCGGUUGUGAAAGCCCCGGGCUCAACCUGGGAACGGCAUCCGGAACUGUCAGGCUAGAGUGCAGGAGAGGAAGGUAGAAUUCCCGGUGUAGCGGUGAAAUGCGUAGAGAUCGGGAGGAAUACCAGUGGCGAAGGCGGCCUUCUGGACUGACACUGACGCUGAGGUGCGAAAGCGUGGGUAGCAAACAGGAUUAGAUACCCGGGUAGUC